rnacentral:rRNA from 1 species
UACGUAGGUGGCAAGCGUUGUCCGGAAUUAUUGGGCGUAAAGCGCGCGCAGGCGGCCUCUUAAGUCUGAUGUGAAAGCCCCCGGCUCAACCGGGGAGGGCCAUUGGAAACUGGGAGGCUUGAGUAUAGGAGAGAAGAGUGGAAUUCCACGUGUAGCGGUGAAAUGCGUAGAGAAUGUGGAGGAACACCAGUGGCGAAGGCGACUCUUUGGCCUAUAACUGACGUGAGGCGCGAAAGCGUGGG